rnacentral:rRNA from 1 species
AGGCUGAAAAGCGUAGUCGAUGGGAAACAGGUUAAUAUUCCUGUACUUCUGGUUAUUGCGAUGGAGGGACGGAGAAGGCUAGGCCAGCUUGGCGUUGGUUGUCCAAGUUUAAGGUGGUAGGCUGGAAUCUUAGGUAAAUCCGGGAUUCUAAGGCCGAGAGCUGAUGACGAGUUAUCUUUUAGAUGACGAAGUGGUUGAUGCCAUGCUUCCAAGAAAAGCUUCUAAGCUUCAGGUAACCAGGAACCGUACCCCAAACCGACACAGGUGGUUGGGUAGAGAAUACCAAGGCGCUUG